AGCGAACGCUGGCGGCAGGCCUAACACAUGCAAGUCGAACGAACUCUUCGGAGUUAGUGGCGGACGGGUGAGUAACACGUGGGAACGUGCCUUUAGGUUCGGAAUAACUCAGGGAAACUUGUGCUAAUACCGAAUGUGCCCUUCGGGGGAAAGAUUUAUCGCCUUUAGAGCGGCCCGCGUCUGAUUAGCUAGUUGGUGAGGUAAAGGCUCACCAAGGCGACGAUCAGUAGCUGGUCUGAGAGGAUGAUCAGCCAAAUUGGGACUGAGACACGGCCCAAACGCCUACGGGAGGCAGCAGUGGGGAAUCUUGCGCAAUGGGCGAAAGCCUGACGCAGCCAUGCCGCGUGAAUGAUGAAGGUCUUAGGAUUGUAAAAUUCUUACACCGGGGACGAUAAUGACGGUACCCGGAGAAGAAGCCCCGGCUAACUUCGUGCCAGCAGCCGCAGUAA
rnacentral:rRNA from 1 species